rnacentral:lncRNA from 1 species
GUGAUCUUUGCUCUGGUGCUGCCAUUAGCCUGAUAGAGACACUCUCAGAGCUACAAAGAACUCUGGCUCUUUCCACUCAGACCUCCUGAUGAUUCUUGAUCAAGAGAAUAGCCAUCUUGACUCCUACCUCACAUCCUAUGAUCAGAGGAAUCUCCUAGGCUCCCCAUCUGCCAUCACAGCACUCAGGGAAGCCCUGCUCCUACCAGACACAGCUUCAGCAGAGAUCGAGAUUAUAGACUUCAAAGCAAGGAAUUUGCACGUUUGAUAUUUUAAGCAUUGGAAACAUGAAAGAGACUCUAACCAACGAGAAUAAAAGGAUAAAAUUAGGACUCCUAAGCCUGACAUUCAAGAUUCACCCCAAUUUUGUUGAAUUUAUUGCACUAAUUAUAUUCACCAUUACUCCUCAAUGGGGAGAGAGUGAAGACAGUCUAGAAGGGGUUAUGGAAGAACACCACCCCACCCCCAAGGAGAGCAGCAGAGGAUCAGGAACCCAUGCGAGAAGGUGGGCUUCCGUAUGAACACUUCUCUGUGUCCUCUCCCAUUCUUUGUUUACUCAUUCCAAUAACAGAAAGCAUAGCAAAUACACAUAAGGGCAGUUUCUCCCCAUCUUUCUAAGGUUGGAUACCACCUAGCUGACCUUGAUUCUAUCCCCGCCUCAAGAACUUUGAUCAUUAAUUACCCUCCCAUCCUCUGUACUUCCAGCCCACACCUUCCAUUAAUACUUUCCUCUUGGUCUCCAAGAAAGCCCAAGAGAUCUCAUUCUCCUUCCUCAAUUCUGCUCUCCCCUCCAGUUUCUAAUCAUCUGGUUCUAUGUUUCACUGCCAAGCUGUUAGGAAGACUGGUCUACAGGCAAAGAUUUCAUUUCUUUCCUGCUCACUUGUUCUGCAAAUGUUUACAAUCAGUCUUUUGAUACCAUGACGCUGGUAUAUUCUUCUCUCAAAAGCCAUCAUUGCUCUCCUAGUUUCCACAUCUGGUGAAUUGAGUCCUUCACUUCUUUUGCAAUAAUUGACUUCCAUUUUCC